AAGACUAUAGACCUGCGGAGUACCUGCGGAAGGAUCAUUACCGAGUUUACAAAACUCCCAAACCCUUUGUGAACCUUACCUAUCGUUGCUUCGGCGGGACCGCCCCGGCGCCCUCGCGGCCCGGAACCAGGCGCCCGCCGGAGGCCCCAAACCCUCAUGUCUUUAGUGGUUUCCUCCUCUGAGUGACAUAAACAAAUAAAGUAAAAACUUUUAGCAAUGGAUCUCUAGAUCGGAAGAGCA
rnacentral:misc_RNA from 1 species